CUAGCGGUCAGGCCACAUAGAGAGACAACCACUCACGUUCACGUUUGUACUCAGGGUAAAGAGUAGCCAAUCAAAUGUAUCCUCUAAUAUGCAUGUUUCUGUGCUGUGGGAAGAAACCGGGGAAAACUCACGCGCAUUACAUGCAAAGUAAAUAUAUGUUAUAUAUAUAUUAGUGUGAACCUAUUACAAUCAAACGAAACAGAAACAAAAUCGGUCUUAACUUUGGGGUUUACAGUACAACUUCAUCUUGAAAAAAAUCAAAUAGAAUUCCAACAAAUGCUGUUUGGGAAAACUUGCUGUUCACGCGAUACUUUUACAAUUAUCCAUUUAUAGCUAACCUUGUCACUUAUUUAAUGAAUGCCUUUGACAGUGGACAUCUAUUUUUCAUCAUUAUAUUGAAAAAAAGCUUGGUUAACGGUUAAUGGUUAACUAAACUUUAUUAACUUCGAGGACUCGGUUGCGAUUUGUCACCGCGUACAUGCACUUUCAAAGCAUUCAGGACGAACGGAAGAUAACGUUUAUUUUCGGCUGUGUGGGUACGAAUUAAAUGGAAAUCCUGCCCAUCGUAUGUGUAAUAGUUCAUACCGCUGGGUAUAUGUUGCUUGGCAGGCAACACAAUCUUGCUUUCAGCCAAUAAACCAGCUAUAAUGUGAACCACGACAGAAGGGAGGGAAGGGAGAGAGGGGGAGCUCUCUCUUAUCGAUUCUGCCUCUGACAUAGCAACUGGCCGUUGAUUGGCUAGUGUGCGGCGCGUUCUCGGCCUCCCAUUGGUUGACGGCGUAACGUGGAAACAGUGGAAGAGGACGGAGACAGAGGGGGGAAAAGGGCGGUGAUUGGCUGCGGCCAAAACUGAAAGCGAAAACCUCUUCUUUCUCGGUGAGUGUGCAAGACAAUUCAUGAUGUGUGUGUGUGUGUGUGUUUUAGGCGAGACUCCAGAGGUAAAUCGUCCCCCUUCUGCUCUCCAUACACCUCUUCCUUCUCUGACAUUCCUCCCAGCAGCACCCAUUUAAAUUGAGAACUAUAAAGCUAAAUUGCUAUGAAUUUAAACGAGCAAGCUCGAAGACUAGAGGCCUGUUGGCAAGUGAAAAAGAAAAGGAGGAAAACUGAGACGGUCUGCGUGCGUGCGUGUGUGUGUGGGAGAGUUUAUGGAAAAGAGAAAGACCAAGGGGGAAAAAAAAGGAAAGGCACGGGGGGUUGGGUUUUUACAUAGAUUAAUCUCAGACUCUGGGAGUUACAGAAAAUGAGAGGGAGCAGUGUAGGCCUGUGGGUAUUGCCAAGGUGGGAGUGUUCUUCAGGUAAAAGGGAAAUGCAGGAAAGAGCCCAGCAUGACUUUUCAGCCUUUUAUUUGUUCCUAUAUCCUGUACAGGGAGUUUGAGUAAUGCAUAUUUUUCGAGUACUCUUUCCUGUCUGUCUGGCCUGCACAUUUUCUCUACCCACUUUCCUCUUGUCAUUUGCAGACAGGAGGUGAGUCAGCGCCAGUACAGCCUGUCCUACAUGUCUGUAUCACCCGCAUCUGGUCUGUUGGAACUGUGAAUGCCGUCUAUCUGACAGCUCCCUGUGCUGACACAGCGUGUCCUCUCGUACUCCCCUCACCUCAUAUCUCGACUUCCCGUAGAAUUUGGCUCACCACAGAAGAACUUCGAGGUCCUGUUCUCUUGAAAGAACUGUUGAGAUACACGGACUACACAACGAUACUCACACAACAGAGCAGGCGUAACAUCCCUGUUUGCUGCUUUCGCGGAUCAGGAACGUUCCAGGAACUUUUCCUUGAAGCAUCUCCUCAGCCUGUGUCCUACUCAUUUCUCCA